rnacentral:rRNA from 1 species
UACGUAGGGGGCAAGCGUUAUCCGGAUUUACUGGGUGUAAAGGGGGCGCAGACGGCGAUGCAAGCCAGGAGUGAAAGCCCGGGGCCCAACCCCGGGACUGCUCUUGGAACUGCGUGGCUGGAGUGCAGGAGGGGCAGGCGGAAUUCCUGGUGUAGCGGUGAAAUGCGUAGAUAUCAGGAGGAACACCGAUUGCGAAGGCAGCUUACCAAGCUACUUCUGACGUUGAGGCACGAAAGCGUGGGGAGCAAACAGG